CACGACGAUGGAUGGAAACGAUGGAUCUUUUAUUUCUUUUAUUUCAGGAAAAUGCUACAAUUGAGGCAAUUUAUUUUAAAAAUGAUGCUAGAGAAGCAAUUUAUACUAUAGUUAAAACAUUUUUUUUCGUCUUUCACGGAAAAAAGAUGUAGCCGUUGGAAACGAUAAAUGUGAAACAGACUUCGUCACCGCAGUCUCUUUCUGCUAUGCUGUACUGCCAUCUGUUGUUUGGAAGAGCGAACAUCUGGUAACAAAGACUUCUACUCGGCAAUAAAUACAGAACUACGAGCCCAGCAUUCCAUGUACAACACGCUGUGUGCUGCAUACACUGGAGCUCCUGUUCAUCAAAGCUCGCACUGGAUGAGGAUGAAGCUCUCAGGCCUGGUUUCCUGAGCCUUUGAUGUUUUAACAAAGGAUGUGACAGUGUGUCUGAACUUAGGUCACACUGUCUAGACUGUUCAUACAAACCCACAGGAACCUGGAUGCAAAGAGAUAAAUUGCUACAAGAACCACUUUGCAGGAGACUAAACACAGUUUGGAGGUAAUAAAUCAGCAAUGUUAUUUUUUUUUGCUCUAUUAAUAGUGCCUAAAAGUUGCUGAACUGGAGUAAAGUAGAAGUUCAGUAAGAAAAGGAGACACUCUGAGUUUGUAGUGAGUGUGAACUCCAAUUAGCUGUCUCACAUAUCUCCAUUAUGAAGGUGUGAUUCAAAGAAACGUCUUAACAUUCACAUCGGUGUGUGAACCAGUGUAAGUGUGAAAGCCUGUCUCUGCUGCAGAGAGUGUGUGUGUGUGUGUGUGUGUGUGUGUGUGUGUGUGUGUGUGUGUGUGUGUGUGUGUGUGUGUGUGUGCGCGCUCUGUGGCGAUGCGUGCGAGCAGCUGGAGUGGGUGCUGCUGGAUGCUGACGGCGCCGCGCUGCAGAGGAUGAUCCAGCAGGGCGAGCGCCGGGCCAAGGCUGGCACCGACAAGCAGCUCCUCGUGGGAGAAAGACGCCAGGCCCUCACAGCUCUCACCUGCCUCAACCCCUGUCAGAAGCUGGUGGACACACAGGAAGCUAAAAUACAUCAUUUCUGGGUUAGCAUGUAGACGGGUGCAUGUCACUGCCGGUGUUUUGGUAGCAAUUUUGCUACAUUUAGGAAAUAGGAACCACCUGAACAGCUGAGCAGUGAGUCACUCAGGUCUGACACUCAUGCAAAUGGGCCUAAUCUUACAUUCAGGAGCUCCUGCUCCUCCACCUCCCAUUAGGAGGGGCAGAGGUGGCCGGCCUCCAGCCAGGAGCCCUGCAACCAGGUGAGUCAAGCGCUUGGCAGACCUGCAUCACUGUGUAACGUCAAGACAUCAACAAUACCUGGAUGUUCCCGCUGGCAGACAUGUAAUGUGUUUGCAUAUUCUCUGCAUUAGCACAAAUUAAUUAACAAAAGUGUUUCUUUACAGUGUAAUCUCUUUUGGAGCGUUUGAGUCUUUCUGCAGAACCAGAGCAGCUGCUAAACCAGAUGGAUCAGUUAAACCUCCCAACUACGGUAAGAAACCUGUCAACAAGUCUGAACAGGAGACAGCACGGGUACGACGUCACAGUGACAAACCUGAAGUAUUCUGACGCAAAUGUUUAUUGUUGUACCAUUGUUGUGUCUUCUGGUUUCUAUGUAGCUAUUUUUGACCAGUUGACUCCCUUUCAAACUACAUUUUUGAAUUCCUUGUUAUUUACAGCAUAAGUUUCAUUUUAACAUUAAAAAUUAGUUUUGUACAAAAUUAUCUAUUUUGCCCAAUUUUAGUCACGGGAGCAAUAAAUUGUAGUUUUCUUAGUUACUAACAGGGCUGUUUUGAUGGCUUUCUGCAUUCCAAUGCAGCCAGGAAAUAUGAUCACAUGAAAAAAAAUUCACCAAUGUGUGAAAUUGCAACAAAAAAACGUAUUUGCAAGGCAGAGUCUCAUAGCCACGCUAUGCUGAUGCAGCUGAGAGCUCCGCUUGGCAGAAGAACUCCUUACAAGAGGUUGUGGUUGGCACGAUUAGGAGAAAGAGAGCAGAGCUGACUCCCAGCACCUCCAGCUGCAACAGAGGCACAUUCUGUCAACUGUCUUUACCUUCACCACCAUGGUGGUACCCAACAGGACACAAAGAAGAAUGUGCUUCUUUGAAGCACAAAGCAUAGGGAACCAGAACUCUGUGAAGGUGUGAGGAUGAAGCUUGAUGCAAUUCUGUUCUACAAUAUGUGCAAAGGGGGUGAGAACAGACAGGGUUCUUGGUACCUACAGCUGUCAAGAAAACCAGCCACUGGUGCUUUUCUCCUGGAUGUCUCUGCAUACAAUGCCUUCGUCCUGUGAAAAUCAAUCCAUCACAAUUAAGAAUCCUCUAAAUCCAAUCAAAGGAGGGCGUCUCUGGAAAAGCUAGGCCACGUGACAGCGUGACAGUGACGCCAGCAAUUGCAAGGCGGCCUUAAACCCCAUGUUGAACAACUGCUGAUGUCAUUGUUGCCAAGAUACACAUGUCUGAAUGAGGGCAUGAUCCACAGCCCUCCAGCAAUAUGAGAGGAGGGUGUGA